rnacentral:rRNA from 1 species
UAGGGAAUCUUCGGCAAUGGGGGCAACCCUGACCGAGCAACGCCGCGUGAGUGAAGAAGGUUUUCGGAUCGUAAAGCUCCGUUGUAAGUCAAGAACGAGUGUGAGAGUGGAAAGUUCACACUGUGACGGUAGCUUACCAGAAAGGGACGGCUAACUACGUGCCAGCAGCCGCGGUAAUACGUAGGUCCCGAGCGUUGUCCGGAUUUAUUGGGCGUAAAGCGAGCGCAGGCGGUUUGAUAAGUCUGAAGUUAAAGGCUGUGGCUCAACCAUAGUUCGCUUUGGAAACUGUCAAACUUGAGUGCAGAAGGGGAGAGUGGAAUUCCAUGUGUAGCGGUGAAAUGCGUAGAUAUAUGGAGGAACACCGGUGGCGAAAGCGGCUCUCUGGUCUGUAACUGACGCUGAGGCUCGAAAGCGUGGGGAGCGAACAGGAUUAGAUACCCUGGUAGUCCACGCCGUAAACGAUGAGUGCUAGGUGUUGGAUCCUUUCCGGGAUUCAGUGCCGCAGCUAACGCAUUAAGCACUCCGCCUGGGGAGUACGACCGCAAGGUUG